rnacentral:rRNA from 1 species
GAUGAACGCUGGCGGCGUGCCUAAUACAUGCAAGUCGAGCGGCAGCACGGUCUUCGGACUGGUGGCGAGCGGCGGACGGGUGAGUAACGCGUGGGUAACCUGCCUCAUACACAUGGAUAACAUACCGAAAGGUAUGCUAAUACAAGAUGAUAUAAGAGAUUCGCAUGGAUUUCUUAUCAAAGCUUUUGCGGUAUGAGAUGGACCCGCGUCUGAUUAGCUAGUUGGUAAGGUAAUGGCUUACCAAGGCGACGAUCAGUAGCCGACCUGAGAGGGUGAUCGGCCACAUUGGAACUGAGACACGGUCCAAACUCCUACGGGAGGCAGCAGUGGGGAAUAUUGCACAAUGGGCGAAAGCCUGAUGCAGCAACGCCGCGUGAGCGAUGAAGGCCUUCGGGUCGUAAAGCUCUGUCCUCAAGGAAGAUAAUGACGGUACUUGAGGAGGAAGCCCCGGCUAACUACGUGCCAGCCGCCGCUGUAA